rnacentral:rRNA from 1 species
UACGAGAGCCUCGAGCGUUAUCCGGAAUCACUGGGCGUAAAGGGCGCGUAGGCGGCAUGCCAAGCGUGUGGUGAAAGCCCGGGGCUCAACCCCGGGUCGGCCGUGCGGACUGGCGUGCUUGAGCACUGUAGGGGCGGGUGGAAUUCCGGGUGUAGCGGUGGAAUGCGUAGAUAUACGGAGGAACACCAGAGGCGAAGGCGGAUCGCUGGGCCAACACUGACGCUGAGACGCGAAAGCUAGGGUAGCAAACGGG